rnacentral:rRNA from 1 species
CCUACGGGAGACAGCAGUGAGGAAUAUUGGUCAAUGGGCGCGAGCCUGAACCAGCCAAGUCGCGUGAGGGAAGACGGUCCUAUGGAUUGUAAACCUCUUUUGUCGGGGAGCAAAAGACGCCACGCGUGGCGUUCCGAGAGUACCCGAAGAAAAAGCAUCGGCUAACUCCGUGCCAGCAGCCGCUGUAAUACGGAGGAUGCGAGCGUUAUCAGGAUUUAUUGGGUUUAAAGGGUGCGCAGGAGGAAGAUCAAGUCAGCGGUAAAAUUGAGAGGGUCACCCUCUUCGAGCCGUUGAAACUGGUGUUCUUGAGUGAGCGAGAAGUAUGCGGAAGGCGUGGUGUAGCGGUGAAAUGCAUAGAUAUCACGCAGAACUCCGAUUGCGAAGGCAGCAUACCGGCGCUCAACUGACGCUCAUGCACGAAAGUGUGGGUAUCGAACAGGAUUAGAUACCCCAGUAGUC